GAAAAGUGAAUAUGAUACUUGUCCUAAUUUUGGUUUAAUUUUCAAGAAGAGAGAACAAGGAAUCAUCAUGGUUUUGUUGAGUUUGUUAUUCAUGAUGGUUAUUUGUUUAAAGCUACUAAAUUGUGCAUUCCUUAUACUUAGAGAAUUUUUAGUUUGGGAAUUGCAUGCAGGUAGAUUAACAGGACAUUUUGGAAAGGAUAAGACCAUUGCUCUUGCUAAAGACAAGUUCUAUUAGCCAUCAUUCAAGAGAGAUGUUGCUAGGAUCGUCUCACAGUGUCACAUAUGCCAGUUAGCUAAGGCUAAGAAGCAUAACACUAGUUUAUACAUUUCUCUUCCUAUUCCACAUACCCCUUCGAAAGAUGUGAGCAUGGAUUUUAUUCUUGGGUUACCUAAAAUAGCUUGAGGGCAUUAUUCUUAGGGGUAGUGGAUAGGUUAUCUAAGGUGGCAUAUUUCAUUCCAUGCACUAAGACAUGUGAUGCU
rnacentral:misc_RNA from 1 species